CUAGCUAUAUAAUGAAUAAUUGGAAAAAAAAAUUGGAAAAUGGAACUUGAUUGUCACAUGAGAUUCUGUCUGCUAGGAUGAUGCUAUCUAUGACAAAGUACACAUGCUGGAAGAAUUGGUUGAGUUUCCCUGCAUGCUGAAAUGGAGGGGGGCAGUGGCCUGUAAUGCACAUGCAAUCUGGAGAGUCACUACUCGUGACAGGGUUUGGGUGUUAUGGUUAUUGGUUGUCUAGUUUUGCCAAGAGGAUCUCAUAGUGCUUACUUGUUUGGGCGAAUUGAGUCAGUGGUAGUCCCACUGGAGCAGCUCAAGUCCUCUGAUUUUACUGAUCAACAAAAAUACUAUGCCUGCAAAAUGAAAUAAAGGAGCUUUUCUGGUAAUGAACUUUACUUUUGGACACACACAUGCGCAAUGAACUUUACUGUCUUUGAUGGCAUUUUGUGUUAUUUGUUUGAUAGGAAGGUGAUGCUGCUGUUGCUGUUGCUGAGGAGGUGAAGAAGAACAACCAUGUAGAUGGGAAAACAUUGGACAAUGAGUUGGAGGUUGUUGAGGGAAUGAAGCUAGACAGGGGCUACAUAUCCCCUUAUUUCAUCACCAACCAGAACAAUCAGAAAUGUGAAUUGGAAAAUCCUCUAAUCAUAAUCCAUGAGAAGAAAAUCCCAAGUAUUAAUGAUGUGGUUAAAGUAUUGGAGUUGGUUUUGCAGUUAUGAUUUCAGAUCUGUAGAUAACCUGUUGUUGCUGAUAUUGCUACACGGGAGGAGAAUAGAACAGCUUGGAAAAUGUGCAAGAAGGGAGAGCUAACUCAUACAACGAAGAACAAAUUGAUGAAGUUAAGAUCAAAUUAGUAGAAUUUGUGAGCUCUCCAUUAUUUAUAAUUAUAGGUAGGAAGUAUGUAUGUAAUAGAGCAAAGAUUGGUUGACUAUGUAAUAACAAUUGAAUUGUCAAGUUUUAUGAAAGAAAUAAUUUUUGCUUCU